GGGUCAGUAGGUUGGUCGUGCCACCGGUACGUACUGGUCUCACUGAUUCCUCCUUCCUGAAGAACCUUAAUGCCAUUAAUUUGGUGUUGCGGGGAGACAGGACUGUUACUUUGAAAAAAUUAGAGUGUUUAAAGCAAGCUAACGCUUGAAUACAUUAGCAUGGAAUAAUGAAAUAGGACGAUCGAUCCUAUUUUGUUGGUUUCUAGGUUUGACGUA
rnacentral:rRNA from 1 species